rnacentral:rRNA from 1 species
CCUACGGGUGGCAGCAGUGAGGAAUAUUGGUCAAUGGGCGCGAGCCUGAACCAGCCAAGUAGCGUGAAGGAUGACUGCCCUACGGGUUGUAAACUUCUUUUAUAAAGGAAUAAAGUGAGGCACGUGUGCCAUUUUGUACGUACUUUAUGAAUAAGGAUCGGCUAACUCCGUGCAAGCAGCCGCGGUAAUACGGAGGAUCCGAGCGUUAUCCGGUGUUAUUGGGUUUAAAGGGGGCGUAGAUGGGUUGUUAAGUUAGUUGUGAAAGUUUGCGGCUCAACCGUAAAAUUGCAAUUGAUACUGGCAGUCUAGAGUACAGUUGAGGUAGGCGGAAUUCGUGGUGUAGCGGUGAAAUGCUUAGAUAUCACGAAGAACUCCGAUUGCGAAGGCAGCUUACUAAACUGCCACUGACAUUGAUGCUCGAAAGUGUGGGUAUCAAACAGGAUUAGAUACCCGUGUAGUC